rnacentral:rRNA from 1 species
UACGUAGGGCGCAAGCGUUGUCCGGAAUUAUUGGGCGUAAAGAGCUCGUAGGCGGCUUGUCACGUCGGGUGUGAAAGCCCGGGGCUUAACCCCGGGUCUGCAUGCGAUACGGGCUGGCUGGAGUGUGGUAGGGGAGAUCGGAAUUCCUGGUGUAGCGGUGAAAUGCGCAGAUAUCAGGAGGAACACCGGUGGCGAAGGCGGGUCUCUGGGACGUUACUGACGCUGAGACGCGAAAGCGUGGGGAGCAAACAGG